rnacentral:ncRNA from 1 species
AUUUAUAAGAAUAUGAUGUUGGUUCAGAUUAAGCGCUAAAUAAGGACAUGACACAUGCGAAUCAUACGUUUAUUAUUGAUAAGAUAAUAAAUAUGUGGUGUAAACGUGAGUAAUUUUAUUAGGAAUUAAUGAACUAUAGAAUAAGCUAAAUACUUAAUAUAUUAUUAUAUAAAAAUAAUUUAUAUAAUAAAAAGGAUAUAUAUAUAAUAUAUAUUUAUCUAUAGUCAAGCCAAUAAUGGUUUAGGUAGUAGGUUUAUUAAGAGUUAAACCUAGCCAACGAUCCAUAAUCGAUAAUGAAAGUUAGAACGAUCACGUUGACUCUGAAAUAUAGUCAAUAUCUAUAAGAUACAGCAGUGAGGAAUAUUGGACAAUGAUCGAAAGAUUGAUCCAGUUACUUAUUAGGAUGAUAUAUAAAAAUAUUUUAUUUUAUUUAUAAAUAUUAAAUAUUUAUAAUAAUAAUAAUAAUAAUAUAUAUAUAUAAAUUGAUUAAAAAUAAAAUCCAUAAAUAAUUAAAAUAAUGAUAUUAAUUACCAUAUAUAUUUUUUAUAUGGAUAUAUAUAUUAAUAAUAAUAUUAAUUUUAUUAUUAUUAAUAAUAUAUUUUAAUAGUCCUGACUAAUAUUUGUGCCAGCAGUCGCGGUAACACAAAGAGGGCGAGCGUUAAUCAUAAUGGUUUAAAGGAUCCGUAGAAUGAAUUAUAUAUUAUAAUUUAGAGUUAAUAAAAUUAAUUAAAGAAUUAUAAUAGUAAAGAUGAAAUAAUAAUAAUAAUUAUAAGACUAAUAUAUGUGAAAAUAUUAAUUAAAUAUUAACUGACAUUGAGGGAUUAAAACUAGAGUAGCGAAACGGAUUCGAUACCCGUGUAGUUCUAGUAGUAAACUAUGAAUACAAUUAUUUAUAAUAUAUAUUAUAUAUAAAUAAUAAAUGAAAAUGAAAGUAUUCCACCUGAAGAGUACGUUAGCAAUAAUGAAACUCAAAACAAUAGACGGUUACAGACUUAAGCAGUGGAGCAUGUUAUUUAAUUCGAUAAUCCACGACUAACCUUACCAUAUUUUGAAUAUUAUAAUAAUUAUUAUAAUUAUUAUAUUACAGGCGUUACAUUGUUGUCUUUAGUUCGUGCUGCAAAGUUUUAGAUUAAGUUCAUAAACGAACAAAACUCCAUAUAUAUAAUUUUAAUUAUAUAUAAUUUUAUAUUAUUUAUUAAUAUAAAGAAAGGAAUUAAGACAAAUCAUAAUGAUCCUUAUAAUAUGGGUAAUAGACGUGCUAUAAUAAAAUGAUAAUAAAAUUAUAUAAAAUAUAUUUAAUUAUAUUUAAUUAAUAAUAUAAAACAUUUUAAUUUUUAAUAUAUUUUUUUAUUAUAUAUUAAUAUGAAUUAUAAUCUGAAAUUCGAUUAUAUGAAAAAAGAAUUGCUAGUAAUACGUAAAUUAGUAUGUUACGGUGAAUAUUCUAACUGUUUCGCACUAAUCACUCAUCACGCGUUGAAACAUAUUAUUAUCUUAUUAUUUAUAUAAUAUUUUUUAAUAAAUAUUAAUAAUUAUUAAUUUAUAUUUAUUUAUAUCAGAAAUAAUAUGAAUUAAUGCGAAGUUGAAAUACAGUUACCGUAGGGGAACCUGCGGUGGGCUUAUAAAUAUC